rnacentral:lncRNA from 1 species
GGCACAGAACGGCCGGGCACAGAACGGCCGGGCACGGAGCGGCCGGGCACAGACGGGCCGGGCACAGAACGGCCGGGCACGGAGCGGCCGGGCACAGACGGGCCGGGCAUGGAAGGGCCGGGCACGGAGCAGCCGGGCACAGAACGGCCGGGCACAGACGGGCCGGGCACGGAGCGGCCGGGCACGGAACGGCCGGGCACAGACGGGCCGGGCAUGGAAGGGCCGGGCUGGGCCGCGGAGCCCAGCGGAGCGGCGGACGAUGGAGAGGGCGAGCCCCGCUGGCCCCCGCCCCCCGAGGAGGACACCGGCCACCCUGCAGAGCCGCGGUGUGAGACUGCCCUGGCCAGCCCGCAGCCGACCCCCACGGGCCUGCCCACCCUCCUGGCCUACAGACCCGAGUCCUCGCAGGCAAACAUUCACCAUGAGCAGGCAGAGGAGGAUGCUGAGCCAACGUGCGAGUACUGUGGUAACCUGCUGAGGCCGUUCCCCUUCUCCGAGGAUGCGCCUCUCUCCGAGGACCAGGAAGAGAGAUUCUGCUGCGAGCGCAGCCGAGAGCUCUAUGAGUUCAUCGUGAAGGAGAAGAAGAGGCUCGAGGAUGUCAGCAGCCUUCCCAGAACUGUCAGCACCCAUGAAUCCCUCGGCUCUGAAGCCAACCUGCUGCUGUCAAAGGAGCAAGACAACCAGAGGUACUGGGAAAACUGGGGAUCAGGUCUGUGCAAUGAACAACAGGGAGCUCUGAGGGGAAAAGGAGCAUUAAGAAACUGCAGAGAGAGGGAUGAAAGAAGAAAAACCUUUCCUUUAGGUACCAGAAGUUCUGAUUCUCUCUGGUCCCUCCUGGCUCCUCUACUGCCAGGCUGCACAAGGAGGUGGCGAGGCACAUGCUGAGUGAAAUGUUAAUUCCAGUCCUAACAGAUUAACUAUCUAGAGACAUGUAGAGCCAAAAAACCCCACAGAUGUGGGAAGGGACAGUACUUGGGUGUAGCUUCUACCUCUGGCACUGAAACAAAACUGGCGUUUGUAUUUCUGUUUUGAUCCAUAAACUGUGUUUGGAUUACAGUUUCCAGAGUC